UGACAGAUUGAGUGCCGCAAUGCUUAAAUUGAUGAAUUAGUUUGCUGGAAUUGGUGUAAAGGUUGCAUCGCAGGGGCACAUGAGGAAAGGAUGGGCAUCGGAGUGGAGCGGAGAUGCUGUUCUGCCAAGUCGUGGACGGAUGUGCUGUAAUUUUUUCUUGAAUUGGAAACUCUCCAAUUUUUUUUCUUAUGGUAGAGGAUC
rnacentral:lncRNA from 1 species